rnacentral:rRNA from 1 species
GACGAACGCUGGCGGCGUGCUUAACACAUGCAAGUCGAACGGAAAGGCCCUGCUUUUGUGGGGUGCUCGAGUGGCGAACGGGUGAGUAACACGUGAGUAACCUGCCCUUGACUUUGGGAUAACUUCAGGAAACUGGGGCUAAUACCGGAUAGGAGCUCCUGCUGCAUGGUGGGGGUUGGAAAGUUACGGCGGUUGGGGAUGGACUAGCGGCUUAUCAGCUUGUUGGUGGGGUAGUGGCUUACCAAGGCUUUGACGGGUAGCCGGCCUGAGAGGGUGACCGGCCACAUUGGGACUGAGAUACGGCCCAGACGCCUACGGGCGGCAGCAGUGGGGAAUAUUGCACAAUGAGCGGAAGCCUGAUGCAGCAACGCCGCGUGCGGGAUGACGGCCUUCGGGUUGUAAACCGCUUUCGCCUGUGACGAGGCGUGAGUGACGGUAAUGAGUAAAGAAGCACCGGCUAACUACGUG